rnacentral:sRNA from 1 species
GCCAGGUGCAGUGGCACACACCUGUAAUCCCAGUGGCUUGGGAGGCUGAGGCAGGAGGAUCAUGAGUUCAAAGCCAGCCUCAGCAAAAGUGAGGUGCUAAGCAAUUCAGUGAGACCCUGUCUCUA